CCGACCUUAGCUCAGUUGGAAGAGCGCGAGACUGUAAUGGCUAAACAUUGAAGUAAUCAAAAGAUUACAAGAUCAUCUUGAGGUCGCCUGUUCGAGCCAGGCAGGUCGGA